CCUCUCUUUCCCUAAUUAAGGUCAGAUUUUUCAGGGAUCCUCCGAGCUCAUUUACUAACUCUGUGGCUUCUUCGGUGUCCUGGUGAUCAACCUUGCCUGGGUUCUGAUGUAGACAGAAUGGAGUCUGAAUCCCGUCCCCCAUGGAGUAGCUGCGUGUCAGAGAAUGAGGCAGGCAAGAAGAGAGGACCAGCAAUCAAUGGAACGUAAAAGUCACUAAAAGCAGCCUUUCAAGAUGACAAAGAUGCUGCCAACCCAUGUGGGCAGGUUCAGGGACCGAAGUUUACUGACCAUGUCUUGACUUAGCAAG
ensembl:lncRNA